CCGGGGUGUGCAGAAAGCGGGGAACACAGCAUCAGACACCCAUGACUUGAAGGAAGAAAUGAUUUCUUUGACUCAUGACUUCAGAGGGUUCAGUCUAUGUCAGCUGGCUCCAAGAGAUAAACCGGGACAGCAGACGGGCCUGGCCGCCAGCAGCUCUCACACUUUCCAGCCCCGGGGACCGGCAUGUGGCGUGGCGCCUCCCAGCUGAGCCAUCAGCCCCUGACUGCGCAGCAUCCAGCAGUCUCUGGGCUGGGGUGAGGGCUUCUAGAAAGUUCUCUGUGUGGGAGGCACGUGACAUCGGGCUGGACACAUGUGCCGGGCUCCAGAGAAGCCAGAGCCGAAACUGCGCCUUCCCAUAGGAGGCCGGACGCUGACCCUGAGGCCACAGGGACGCACGCCCACCCUACUCUGCCCCAGUACAGGGUGGAGCUGUUGUAAACAGUGGAUCCUGUGACCAGGGCCUGAUGGAGGCAGGAGCCCCCCUCGGAGCAGGGCCGGCGUCCAGGCCUCUGCGGCUCUGCUGCAAGAUGCCUC
rnacentral:lncRNA from 1 species